AAGUCGUAACAAGGUCUCCGUAGGUGAACCUGCGGAGGGAUCAUUAAUUGUGACCCCGGCCCUCGGGCCGGGAUGAUCAAAACCCUUUGUCGUCCAACCAUGUUGCCUCCGGGGCGACCCCGCCUUCAGGUCGGGUCCCCCGGGUGGACACCUUCAAACUCUUGCGUAACUUUGCAGUCUGAGUAAAUUUAAUUAAUAAGUUAAAACUUUCAACAACGGAUCUCUUGGUUCUG
rnacentral:misc_RNA from 1 species